AUUUACUAGGUGCUGGGCACUGUGCUAAGGAUAUUACCAAUAUUAUCUCAUUCAAUGAGAAGAAUAAAAGUAGCCAGCAAGCAUAAUGGCCCUACUAUGUGCCAAAUGCUUUACAAAGAGCAUGGCUAUUAAAUGCCAUUCACAAUAACCAGCACUUAGGGAGCAUUUACUAGGUGCCCAGCACUGUGCUAAGGAUAUUACCAAUAUUAUCUUAUUUCAUGAGAAGACUAAAAGUAGCCAGCAAGCAUAAAGCCCUUAGUAUGUGCCAAAUGCUUUACAAAGAGAAUGGUUAUUAAAUGCCAUUCACAAUAACCAGCACAUUUUUCUUUCUCAUUUUUCUUAUGUCGCAUGAUAUAUAGAAAUAUAUAUAAAAGAACUGUAUAUAUUUAACAUAUAUUGGAUUACUUGCUGUCUGGGGAAGGGGUGGGAGGAAGGGAAGGAGAAAAAAAAUGGAUCCCAAGGUUUUGCAAGAAUGAAUGUUGAACACUACGUUUGUAUAUAUUUUGAAAAUAAAAAAGCUGUUAUUUAAAAACAAACAAACAAACAAACAAAAAAACAAUAACCAGCAUUUAGGGAGCAUUUACUAGGUGCCGGGCACUAUGCUAAGGAUAUUACCAAUAUUAUCUCAUUUGAUGAGAAGAAUAAAAGUAGCCAGCAAACAGAAAGCCCCUCCUAUGUGCCAAAUGCUUUACAAAGAGCCUGGCAUUUAAUAGCAACAUUAACAAUAACCAGCACUUAGGGAGCAUUUACUAGGUGCACGGCACUGUGCUAAGGAUAUUACCAAUAUUAUCUCAUUUAAUGAGAAGAAUAAAAGUAGCCAGAAAGCAUAAAGCCCCUACUAUGUGCCAAAUGCUUUACAAAGAGCAUGGCUAUUAAAUGGCAUUAACAAUAACCAGCACGUAGGGAGCAUUUACUAGGUGCUGGGCACGGUGCUAAAGAUAUUACCAAUAUUAUCUCAUUUAAUGAGAAGAAUAAAAGUAGCCAGCAAGCAGAAAGCCCCUCCUAUGUGCCAAAUGCUUUACAAAGAGCAUGGCUAUUAAAUGGCAUUAACAAUAACCAGCACUUAGGGAGCAUUUACUAGGUGCUGGGCACGGUGCUAAGGAUAUUACCAAUAUUAUCUCAUUUAAUGAGAAGAAUAAAAGUAGCCAGCAAGCAUAAAGCCCCUACUAUGUGCCAAAUGCUUUACAAAGAGCCUGGCAUUUAAUAGCAACAUUAACAAUAACCAGCACUUAGGGAGCAUUUACUAGGUGCCCGGCACUGUGCUAAGGAUAUUACCAAUAUUAUCUCAUUUAAUGAGAAGAAUAAAAGUAGCCAGCAAGCAUAAAGCUUCUACUAUGUGCCAAAUGCUUUAAAAAGAGCCUGGCAUUUAAUAGCAACAUUAACAAUAACCAGCACUUAGGGAGCAUUUACUAGGUGCCCGGCACUGUGCUAAGGAUAUUACCAAUAUUAUCUCAUUUAAUGAGAAGAAUAAAAGUAGCCAGCAAGCAGAAAGCCCCUACUAUGUGCCAAAUGCUUUACAAAGAGCCUGGCAUUUAAUAGCAACAUUAACAAUAACCAGCACUUAGGGAGCAUUUACUAGGUGCCCGGCACUGUGCUAAGGAUAUUACCAAUAUUAUCUCAUUUAAUGAGAAGAAUAAAAGUAGCCAGCAAGCAUAAAGCCCCUACUAUGUGCCAAAUGCUUUACAAAGAGCCUGGCAUUUAAUAGCAACAUUAACAAUAACCAGCACUUAGGGAGCAUUUACUAGGUGCUCGGCACUGUGCUAAGGAUAUUACCAAUAUUAUUUCAUUUAAUGAG
ensembl:lncRNA